AAGAAAUUGUCAUGUAUGUCCUCAAUUUAUUUCUUCUCCACAGAUGGGUGUUAACCCCCGUGGGUUGAUGCCAAAUAUCCUGUGGCAAAUGGAUGUCACGCAUAUAUCUGAGUUUGGAAAAUUGUCUUAUGUCCAUGUAACAGUAGAUACUUUUUCUCAUGUAAUUGUAGCAUCUGCCAGGAUGGGUGAAGCCUUUAAGGAUGUUAUACAACACCUUUUUCAAUGUUUUUCUGUUUUAGGAAUGCCAAAAAAGAUAAGGACUGAUAAUGCACCAGCUUAUACUUCAAAAGCUUUUAAAGAAUUUUGCAAUAAAGUUAACAUUUCUCAUUCUACAGGAAUUCCUUAUAAUCCACAGGGUCAAACAAUUGUAAAAAGGACACAUCAGAGACUUAAGCUACAAAUAAAUAAACUCAAAGAGGGAGAGUUUAAAUAUUCCUCUCCUCAUCAUAUAUUGCAGCAUGCAAUGUUUGUAAUAAGUCAUUUAAAUACUGAUAAAGAAGGGGACACAGCUAUGAUAAGACAUUGGGGUAAUAAAGAGACAAAAACUGUUUUGGUAAAAUGGAAAGACUUACUAACUAAUCAGUGGAAAGGACCUGAUGUUUUGUUAACAUCGGGACGGGGCUAUGCAUGUGUAUUUCCACAGGAUGCUGAAAGUCCUUUGUGGAUUCCUGAUAGGUUAAUAAGACAUUAUAAUGCCACCAAUCAGAAACAAGACAUGCAAAGAAUGCUGGAUGGGGUGCCAGACCACCAAUCAGGAGCCAAAGAACAACCCAGCUCUUGAGAUGAAGAAAUUGCGAGUCUCUCAGUCUGCAGCGACAAGGAAUGCAUCAUAUCCUACUUGAGGCCAGAUCAAGCGGCUAACUUCUGCAGCUGAAGGGGUGCUGACAUCCACCGGGAAAGAAAAAACGCCUGAAGCUUUGUUUUUGGCUAUGCUUGCUCUGCUUUCUUUUCAGUCAUCCUCGGAGUGAUUUGUGGCUUGUUUAAGCGCAUUAAUAUCCAGAAAGGGUCUCAUCGUGGGACGAUGCUUGCAAGGCCUCAUCAUGGGAGAAGAUGCCGCCGUUCCACCCUCAUUUUCUGGAGCUCGAUGUGCUUGCUUUGUCUUAUUAUAUUUUAUUCCUUAUUGCCUUAUAACUAUCACUCUGGGAGACUUGGGAGUAGGAUUGAAAAUUAUACCAAAGUAUGGGCUGGCCCGGUGGCGCACUUGGUAGAGUGCGGCGCUU